rnacentral:lncRNA from 10 species
AUGUCAAGUUCAUCAUCGAGAACACCGACCUGGCGGUGGCCAAUUCGAUUCGGAGGGUCUUCAUCGCUGAGGUUCCCAUAAUAGGUAAGCGACUCCCCUUCCUCGUUCCCGCGCCCACGGGUUCCUGCCCCGCUCUCCACCCACACACUCUUUGGGGCUCCUUCCAGUCCUUGGUUCGGGCUGAGGGUGGUAGUGCUGAGAAAAGUGCAUUGCUGGAGACUUGACCAUACCCUGUGCCCUUGGCUCAGUGGCCGCCUCCCUGGCGCCCACGGGCCACUUAGGUCCACCCUUGUCCUGGGUAUGCAUUGCUGAGAAGCAUGGGUUUAGCAGUGUGCAGACUUGGGUUCAAAUACUGUUUUCACUACUAUUGUUACAAAAGUUUUUAAAAUGUUUUCAACUUUUAUUUUGGAGUCAAGGGGUACAUUGGUGCAGGUUUGUUGCCUGGGUAUAGUGCGUGAUGCUGAGAUUUGGGGUAUAAAUGAUCCUUUCACCCAGGUAGUGAGCAUAGUACGCAAUAG